UACAGAGGGUGCGAGCGUUAAUCGGAAUUACUGGGCGUAAAGCGUGCGUAGACGGUUAUUUAAGUCGGGUGUGAAAGCCCCGGGCUCAACCUGGGAAUUGCAUUCGAGACUGAAUAGCUAGGGUACGGUAGAGGGAAGUGGAAUUUCCGGUGUAGCGGUGAAAUGCGUAGAUAUCGGAAGGAACAUCAGUGGCGAAAGCGACUUCCUGGACCAGUGCCGACGUUCAGGCACGAAAGCGUGGGGAGCAAACAGG
rnacentral:rRNA from 1 species